AGUCGAACGGCAGCACAGUAAGAGCUUGCUCUUACGGGUGGCGAGUGGCGGACGGGUGAGGAAUACAUCGGAAUCUACUCUUUCGUGGGGGAUAACGUAGGGAAACUUACGCUAAUACCGCAUACGCCCUUCGGGGGAAAGCAGGGGAUCGCAAGACCUUGCGCGAUUGAAUGAGCCGAUGUCGGAUUAGCUAGUUGGCGGGGUAACGGCCCACCAAGGCGACGAUCCGUAGCUGGUCUGAGAGGAUGAUCAGCCACACUGGAACUGAGACACGGUCCAGACUCCUACGGGAGGCAGCAGUGGGGAAUAUUGGACAAUGGGCGCAAGCCUGAUCCAGCCAUACCGCGUGGGUGAAGAAGGCCUUCGGGUUGUAAAGCCCUUUUGUUGGGAAAGAAAAGCAUCCGGUUAAUACCCGGGUGUUCUGACGGUACCCAAAGAAUAAGCACCGGCUAACUUCGUGCCAGCAGCCGCGGUAAUACGAAGGGUGCAAGCGUUACUCGGAAUUACUGGGCGUAAAGCGUGCGUAGGUGGUGAUUUAAGUCCGUUGUGAAAGCCCUGGGCUCAACCUGGGAAUUGCAGUGGAUACUGGGUCACUAGAGUGUGGUAGAGGAUAGUGGAAUUUCCGGUGUAGCAGUGAAAUGCGUAGAGAUCGGAAGGAACAUCUGUGGCGAAGGCGACUAUCUGGGCCAACACUGACACUGAGGCACGAAAGCGUGGGGGAGCAAACAGGAUUAGAUACCCUGGUAGUCCACGCCCUAAACGAUGCGAACUGGAUGUUGGGUUCAACUUGGAAACCCAGUAUCGAAGCUAACGCGUUAAGUUCGCCGCCUGGGGAGUAC
rnacentral:rRNA from 1 species